CUCGCUGUUUUGACUUGACUUGUUCAGGAUGAUGUUGUGCUCAUACUUCUAGUCUGUUUGGAAUAUAUAAGGUAUACAAAAAAAAAAUGUUGCUAAUUCAAUUAGAAAGAGUGAGUACAACGUUUCUUGAGGAGUGAAGAAGAAGAAAGAAAAAAAAGAAACAAAUGGAUUGAAGACUUGUAUGGCUAAGGAAUACUCGUAUGGCUAAGGAAUACUUGUAUGGUCUCUUUGAUUCACGGGACUUAAAAAACAUAAACACAUGAAUAUAGGGAGC
rnacentral:lncRNA from 1 species